rnacentral:rRNA from 1 species
GACGAAGGUGGCGAGCGUUGUUCGGAAUCACUGGGCAUAAAGCGCACGUAGGCGGUGUCGUAAGUCGGAUGUGAAAUCCCUCGGCCUAACCGAGGAACUGCGUCCGAUACUGCGAUGCUUGAGGAUCAGAGGGGUGCAUGGAAUUUCCGGUGUAGCGGUGAAAUGCGUAGAUAUCGGGAGGAACACCAGUGGCGAAGGCGACUUCCUGGCCUGUUCUUGACGCUGAGGCGCGAAAGCUAGGGGAGCAAACGGA